ACAGUGAGGAACCCAGAUUCCCAUGCCCUCUCUCUUAAGCGCCCUACCUCCAGAGGAGACGCCCAGAACGGGGGGCGGGGGUCGUAUUCGCGGGAAAACGCAGGCGACGCUUUACGGCAAGGACGAGCGGGGUCGCAGUCAAGCCUCGCUGGCUCCCGCGCGAAACUGAGGGGACCGGGUGUUUCUCGCCGAAGCGUGGCCUCAGCCGCGUUGGUCCCCUCAGCCUCCUUCGUGUCCUUUCCCUGGGGCAACGCGGGGCGAGGCGGGGCCGGGACCGGCAGCCUUUUUGGCUGGAGGGACCCUCCCCAUCUUCUAACGUCUGAGCAGCCUGUACCCUGCAUGCAAGGUUGCAGUUUGCAGAAAUAAUAAAAACAUAUCAUCAACAGCUCAUGCAUUGCCUUCAUGUGGACCCAGAGUGCAAGCACAGAUGAAGAGCAGAUACUGACUUCACACUUCUGAAAGGUCACAGUUUGUUAAAAUAAUAAAAGGGCGUGAUCAAUAGCUCAUACAUUGCCUUGGUGUGGACCCAGAGUACACGCACAGAGGAAGAGCAGACACUGACUUCACACUUCUGAUAGGUAUGUAAUAUAGGCCUCAGUUGUGCUUCGAUUCUGUUUCCCCCUUCUCUAUAGUAGGCUCCUGUCUCAAGGCAGGUCUGUCAUCGAAUUUCCUCAGGUUUGUCUCUGGUUAGUAGUGUGUUCAAGUAUUUGUUGUUGUUAUUCAGUCACUGAAUCCUGUCCAGACUCAGUUGUGUCUGA